CGGGACGUGGCGCAGCUCGGUAGCGCACUUGACUGGGGGUCAAGGGGCCGGAGGUUCAAAUCCUCUCGUUCCGA
rnacentral:tRNA from 2 species